AAGUAGAUACACCCUGAUGACUCCCCCAGUGCUUUCACGAGCUCUGGGGUUUUUUCUU
rnacentral:sRNA from 1 species